UACGUAGGGACCGAGCGUUGUCCGGAUUCAUUGGGCGUAAAGAGCUCGUAGGCGGCUGCUCAAGUCGAAUGUGAAAACUCGAGGCUCAACCUCGAGCCUGCAUUCGAUACUGGGCGGCUAGAGUCUGGUAGGGGGAUCUGGAAUUCCUGGUGUAGCGGUGGAAUGCGCAGAUAUCAGGAGGAACACCGGCGGCGAAGGCGGCGUCCUGGACCAAUACUGACACUGAAACGCGAAAGCCAGGGGAGCAAACGGG
rnacentral:rRNA from 1 species